rnacentral:rRNA from 1 species
CGGACGGGUGAGUAACGCGUGGGUAACCUGCCUCAUACAGGGGGAUAACAGUUAGAAAUGACUGCUAAUACCGCAUAAGACCACAGCACCGCAUGGUGCAGGGGCAAAAACUCCGGUGGUAUGAGAUGGACCCGCGUCUAAUUAGGUAGUUGGUGGGGUAACGGCCUACCAAGCCGACGAUCAGUAGCCGACCUGAGAGGGUGACCGGCCACAUUGGGACUGAGACACGGCCCAA